CACACGCCGGAGUUUGCUCCUCGCGUUUGGAAACGUGCCACAAAGCGAUUCUGCGCAUGCGCGGACUAGACUCAUGCCUGGUUGAAAAUAGAAACAAGACUUGACUGCGUCACUCGGUUAGCUGGCAAACCCGGAAGUUGGUAGGUGAGAUUCCCGGAUGUAUCUUAAAUGUCUGUUUUUUGUGCCAAAUCACCUUCUGUAGGUCACAUUACUAUUUCUUAACUUUCUUUACAUUAGUUCAGGUUCCUAAACAUUGUUAAACGUGUGUAGUCACUUCCCUCCUGUUUGUGUUUUAAAAAAAACAGACAAUUCUUAAAGUCUAAAUCUAUUUCAUCAUCACACUGAUUCAUCUUGGGGAAGUUCAUGUUCAUGAAAUAGAUCUGAAUUUGAUUAACUUUCACACCAAACCUAACUCUUUUCCUGAAUUAUGCAACAUUCAGUUGUGUCCUUUUACUUUAAGGUUCUGCUUUAUGGAUGUAUUUUUUAUUGAACUUAUAAGGAAGUCUGCAGUCACAUUCAGUACAGGAAUAGAUACAACCAUGAACAUGCUUCUUCUUUUCCCUUUUCUUGUAAAUAGCCACCAGAAAUAGGUUGCCACAACUUCUCACUUCUCAUUUAUGAGCCGAACCUGUUUACACACACAGAUGGAGGGAGAGGAGCAAAUAUUAAACUUGCUGAUUGCUCUCAUUUCCUACGCCAUUGCUGGAGAUAGGAAAGAUUUUCAUGUCAUGGUCGCUGCACAUGUCAGCUGCAUGAACUGAACAAAUAAAAUGAAGAUAAAUAUGAACAAACAUAUUGCCCCCCUUUCUCACCAGCAGCUUUUCUGAUUUGUCCAGGAUCUUUUACACAGAGUCACCCCAGACACCCUUUUCUCUAAAAGCAUUUGGAAACAUUCUUGUUGUUGCAUUGUUAAUUAUUUUGCGAUAUGCUGCAUUAGUGAGCUGUACAUUAAAUGCAUAGACAACAGUCUGUUUGCAUACUGUAA